rnacentral:lncRNA from 1 species
UGGAGUGGAAGUCCCUGAAUGGUGCGUGGUAGGACCUCAUGCUGGGCUGUGGCUUUGACGAAGGUCUCAGGCUGGAGAAUGGAUUAGCGGAGAGCAAAUGGCUCCUCCGGGCUGCGCCAUGGGUGGCCUGGGGCUCACAUUCAGGGGCUCACCUUGCAGAAACCCCACCAGGUUCUCACAUCAAGGACCCAGGAAAAAGCCCCUCAUGACUGUGAGAGAGGGAGGGGAGAGAUACCCUUCUAUGUAUCACAGACCUACCCUCCAAGGGAGACUCACCCAUCUAGAGGACACGCAGAAACAGCACCCUCCUGGAGAAAGGGCCCCACUCAGCCUGCCCUGGCCUUGCUGGAGGUGGGGCUUUUCGGGAAAAGAACGAGGAGGCUGAAGACAGGAAAGCCAGCGGGUGGGGAGGCUGGGACCCUGGGGGAGGGGUGGGAACAUUGUGAAGGCCACACCCCAAGCCCUGGGGCCCUGUAUUGGGUCUUUGUUGCAUUGCUAUAAAGAAAUACCUGAGACUGGGUGAUUUAUAAAGGAGAGAAAUUCGACUGGCUCAUGGUUCUGCAGGCCGUACAGGAAGCCUGGUGCUGGCAGAUCUGCUUCUAGGGAGUUCUCAGGAAGCUUCUGGUCAUGGUGGAAGGCAAUGCGGAGCCAGCGAGUCACAUGAUGAGACCCCGAGCAAGAAAGAGAGGCCGGGAGGUGCCACACUCUACAACAACCAGCAACCUGGAGCUGUGCGGACUGAGACUGAGAUGCAUCGCUGAAACUCUCUUUAGGUGUUCCCUACCAUUUCUUCUUGGAAAAGAAGGUUUUACCUCCUGGGAUUUUUGAGAACCUCUAACUUCUCCAUUGGGGACCAUCUCCAGGUACCACCAAAAAAGAGCACAACAGCAGCCUUGCGGAUAAGUCCUGGUCUGGAGUCAGCCACCGCUGCACACACCACUCAGAGCUGCAUCAUCGGGUUACCCCUGGAAAGGCUGCCCACACACCCACAUCCAGGGGUGUCUCGUCACUGCUGACGACUAGCACGGUGAAUGUUCUGCUUCGUGGAGAGACUAUCAGAGCUGGAAUAUCCAUAGGCUUAUAAUCUUCAUGAAUACUUCCUCUCUCAAUUGCCGUGAAAUAAUAUGGCUCCUCAGUCCAUGAAGCUGGCAUCAAUAACUGAAAUAGGCUCGGAAAAGUCCGGGCAAGAGGAACCUGAAAGCUCAGCAUGAGAUGAAGUGGCUGGAGGCACGUGAGUCCUGCACUGAUAGAGGCCGGUUCUGUCAAGCCUCACCUGGAUGAUGUGUGUGACUCUUCCCAUAGAAAGGAGCAGGCUCUCUCAUGAAGCCUCCAUUCUAGCAUUUUGUGAUCAUCUAUGACCUUAGAGGGGUCCUCUAUAACCCUGAGUCCCAAACAGGUGAAUACAGAGUGGGCUCACACUUAUUUCUCCAUUAUUCCUGUGUUCUUUCAGGAGGCUGACCAUCAAACCUACUUAGAAGUCAGACCUUGAAUGGUUCAAGCCUUCAGUGGAGGAAGUGACUGCAGGUGUGGAAAUCACGAGAGAACUUGAAGGAGAAGUGGGGCCUGAAGAUGGGGCUGAAUUGCUGCAAUCUCAUGAUAAAUUUGAAAGGAUGAGAAAUCGCUUCUUGCAGAUGAGCUAAGAAAUGGUUUAUUAAGUGGAAUCUACUCCUGGUGAAGAUGCCGUGAACAUUGUUGAAAUGACAUCAAAAGAUUUAAAAUAUUAGGUAAACUUAAUUGAUAAAGUGGCGGAGAACUUUGAGAGAUGAACUCCAAUUUUGAAAGGAGUUCUACUGUGGGUAAAAUGCUGUCAAACAGCAUUGCAUGCCACGAGGAAAUCUUUCACAAAAGGAACAGUCAAUUAAUGCAGCAAACUUCAUUGUUGCCUUAUUUUAAUAAAUGGCCACCCCAACCUUCAGCAGCUACCACCCUGAUCAGUCAGCAGCCAUCAACGCUGAAGCAUCUCCACCACAAAAAGAUUAUGGCUUGCUGAAUGCCCAGAUGAAUGCCAGCAUUUUUAGCAAUACAGUAUUUAAUGAGGGUAUGUACCUUGUUUUUUAGACACAGUGGUGUUGCACGCUUUACAGGAUACAGUAUAACAAAAACACAACUUUAAAAUGCAUUGGGAAACAAAAACAUUGUGUGACUGGCUUUAUUGUGAUGUUUGUAGAGUCUGGAACUGAACCCACAACAUCUCCCAGGUCAGCCUGCAUGCCGUUCCUCAUGUUCAAAUCUACUUGUGUAUCUUCCAGAUUUUUAUCGACUUCUAUUUAUUUGUUUUUGCUUCACCUUUCCUGUUAAGAGGACUCCAAGGCAUUUUCUUAUCUGCUUAGUUGCUAUUCUCGCUAGUAGUAUCUUUUCUUCCCUUGCACCUUCUAGCUGGUUGCUAUAGCUCUGGUUGUUGAUGUUUUAACCAUUACAGAGGGACUACUGAUUUCUGCACUUCAGUUUGUCCUGCGACCUUACUGACUUUUUAUCCUUUGUAGUAGUUUUUCAGUGGAUUCUGUUGGAUUAUAUAUGUCUAAAUAUAAUCUGC